rnacentral:rRNA from 1 species
CUAAGAAUAUUCCGCAAUGGACGGAAGUCUGACGGAGCGACGCCGCGUGGAUGACGAAGGCCGAAAGGUUGUAAAGUUCUUUUGCUGGGGAAGAAUAACCGCAGGAGGGAAUGCCUGUGGGAUGACAAGAACCGGCGAAUAAGCCCCGGCCAACUACGUGCCAGCAGCCGCGGUAACACGUAGGGGGCGAGCGUUGUUCGGAAUUACUGGGCGUAAAGGGCAUGUAGGCGGCUUGGAAAGCCUGGCGUGAAAGUCUGCAGCUUAACUGCAGGGGUGCGCUGGGAACUGCUGAGCUUGAGUGACGGAGAGGGAGCUGGAAUUCCUGGUGUAGGGGUGAAAUCUGUAGAUAUCAGGAAGAACACCGAUGGCGAAGGCAAGCUCCUGGCCGAUGACUGACGCUGAGGUGCGAAAGUGUGGGGAUCAAACAGGAUUAGAUACCCUGGUAGUCCACACAGUCAACGAUGUGCACUAGGUGCUGGGGCGGUAGCUUCGGUGCCGGAGCGAACGUGGUAAGUGCACCGCCUGGGGAGUAUGCUCGCAAGGGUGAAACUUAAAUGAUUGAC